rnacentral:rRNA from 1 species
AUUGAACGCUGGCGGCAGGCCUAACACAUGCAAGUCGAGCGGCAGCGGGAAAGUAGCUUGCUACUUUUGCCGGCGAGCGGCGGACGGGUGAGUAAUGCCUGGGAAAUUGCCCAGUCGAGGGGGAUAACAGUUGGAAACGACUGCUAAUACCGCAUACGCCCUACGGGGGAAGGCAGGGGACCUUCGGGCCUUGCGCGUUUGGAUAUGCCCAGGUGGGAUUAGCUAGUUGGUGAGGUAAUGGCUCACCAAGGCGACGAUCCCUAGCUGGUCUGAGAGGAUGAUCAGCCACACUGGAACUGAGACACGGUCCAGACUCCUACGGGAGGCAGCAGUGGGGAAUAUUGCACAAUGGGGGAAACCCUGAUGCAGCCAUGCCGCGUGUGUGAAGAAGGCCUUCGGGUUGUAAAGCACUUUCAGCGAGGAGGAAAGGUCAGUAGCUAAUAUCUGCUGACUGUGACGUUACUCGCAGAAGAAGCACCGGCUAACUCCGUGCCAGCCGCCGCGGUAA